rnacentral:lncRNA from 1 species
UGCCCCUCCACUUCUCCAGCCUUCACCCAUGUCUCCUGUCUCCUUCAGUGACUCUGCACAGCUCUCUCCUCCCAGAAUUUCUCCUCCUUUGUCAGUCUCCUUUGCAAGUUCUGGGUAGCUUUUCUUCCUUAGAUUGUUAAACAUUAAUUAUGUUCCACAGGGUUGCUCCCUGACCCUCUCCUUUUCUUUCCUGACACCGCAUCCAAGGAAUUCUUGUCCUUUCCCCUGGCUUUAACUUCUACCCAUUUGCCAGUCAUGCCCAAAGUUAUUUCCUACCAUACCUCCUCCUGAGAGAGUGCAACACCCACCAGUAACGUGCAGUAUUUGCCCCCGUGGCCACUCCUCAGACCUAACAUCCACACAGAAGAACUAAUUUUCCACUAAACCUAAUACCAGAAAAGCUUUAUUAAAAGUCCAGGCCCUUGUUCAACUCAUUCAAAAGAAUUUAAGCAUGGAACCACAAACACAAGGGGGAAAAAGUCUAUAUUGAGGCUGAGGAGCAAAGAGAACAAAUAAGCAACUUAUCUGGGGCAGAAGCAAAACUUAGGUGCUCAGAGAAGAUUGGGGCUGUCCUUAGGACUGAGGGGGUACACCACAGGAUUGUUGAUCCCCCUUUUAUUUAUAGCCCUUUGAAUGGGUGGGGGCCUUUUGUGGAGGGGUGGAAUAUCUGUUCUGGGGAGGGUUGAGCUGUGGCCUGAAUCGCAUCAAGUUGCAUCAGCUUUCAGGCCUGAGCCUUUGUCUCCUGAAGCCACUGUGCAUGCUCUCCAAGAUUGCCCUGGAAUUUUCCCUAAGCAAGUGCCACAUGUGGAAGGUCAUCCAGGGUCAUCACAAGCUGUACAUUUUUAUUGUGCCUGCACCAGGAUUUUGCUGGUCAGAGUUUCUUACUCAGGUGCUACAAAGUAUUUGUUUUUGAUGCCAUUGCUCCAUGGGUCAUGGCAUCCUUAGCUGCAAAACAAGGAGGUGGCUUUGCCUUCUGCCUAAUGCCUGUACAGGAGGAGGUUGGCCUUGUGCCCCACCCUGUCUUUCCUGCCUCACACCUACAUGUUUGUAUAUAGCUCUUCUUCUGGUUAAAAGCAGUACCACAUACCACCAGAGGCUGGACCCUCAAAGCCAUCUGUGAGUUGCUGCCAUUUCCCCCUCUUGAGAUUGAGAGUUAACUUAGUUUAACUUAGUUUAACUCUCAAUCUCAGGUGUUUUCCUCUUCCUCUCCCUCCUCGCUGCCCCUCCCUUUCAGGCCCACAUCAUCUCCACAGUGAUCAUGUCCAUAGGCAUCUUGACGGUUGGUCUCCCUGGGCCACCCCCAUCCCAGGACCGUCUCUGUCCUUCCUUCUAGAUUGAGCCCUGGAAGACAGACUUCCAUGUGGGCUCUUCUUCUUGAGCCAGAUCCAGGGAGGCAUGGGAGGAUGAGAGAGCGUGAGGAGAGAGGUCGGUCCCUGUAGUUCUGAUUUGGUUGCCUUUCUCCAGGGACACAGCUCUUCUAGGGAGGCCCUCCUUCCAUCCCUUUCCCUCCAGGUUCAGUCAUGGCUCCAUCCUGCCCCUUUCUGUUUUAGGCCAGUGACCACUUUUCCUUGUUGCUGAUCUCUGGGUGCUUCACCUUUAUAUUGUGGUUCUUUAUCUCUGCACACACCUCUGUAAAUAGUCCCGCAGGUAAAGCAUCUUCUGUUAAACCCUUGGAGUGUGCCAGUCAGUUUCCUGCUACGGCUCAGACAGAUGCACCUUUAGCUCAUCUCUGUCUUUAGCUUUGCAUUGCUUCAAUCCCUCCUCCGUCCUCUUACUGCAGAGUGAACUUUUAAAUGUAAAUCUGAUACCACCUACCUGCUUAAAACCUGCAAUGACUUCCUUCCUGCAAGAAUGAGAAUGAAGGCUUCUAUGGCAAGCAGUGUGCUCCAUGAUUUGCAGCCUCUCCAGACAUUUCCCACAGCACCUGCCCCUUCUCAGGGUGAAGCUAGUUAAAGCGAAUAGCUUACAGCCCAAAUCAGUAGGGAAAGCCCUGUGCUCUAGCUCUGGAGAGACUAAGGCUCUGGCCAUGCUCUGUCUGACCUGCUGGCCUUCCUCUCCCAGUGCUGUCACCAUGUGAAUCAUUAGGUAUUUUUUCAGGUUAUGUCACUUAGGAAAGGAAUGGAAAUGGGAAUGAUUGGUUUUUUUCUUCCCAGUGGAUGGCUUUUUUCCUCAGAAGGUGUUAAAUUGAAAAUAAGGCAUGUUUUAUUUUUCACAAAGACAAGAAGGAUAAAAUGGGGGUUACACAUGGAAGCCCAAGAAAGAGGUAUUUUCUCCUGUAUGCAACAACCUACAGAUAGAUCAAAGAAACAUUUCUCCUCUUUUCCUCCCUUCUUUCUUUCAUUCCUUCCAUCUUUCUCUCUUUCUGUUCUCCAUGUUUGGUUUAUCAUUUUAAAGCCCAGUGAGGAGUUCUCUGGUGGCUCAGUGGGUUAAGGAUCUCUUGUUGUCACUACUGUGGCACAGAUUCGACCCCUGGAACAGGAACUUUCCUGUGCCUCAGGCACCACCAAAUAAAUAAAUAAAGCCCAAUGACAGGAGGUUGGAGUCAUUAUCUCAUUUGAAAUAUUACCUUUAAGUAUCAAAUGGAAAGGAUUAUGUAAUUUCCUAAAUGGAUCUUCACAUUUCAAGAAAGGUAUUAAUUUUCCUAAGGGAGUGAAUCCCAUGCUGGAUCAAUCCUCUCAGCAAGCCCGCACCCCUAAUCUCCACUCUCGAGUCUUGUGUUUUCCCCAGUUAAUUUGCUGAGGUUGGGGCUGUUGGGUGAUUAAUGCGAGAUUUUAGAGGAGGGACUCAGAGUGGUGGUGGUAUAAGUAAGGAUGAUUAUGUGGCAUUGUUUCCUGAUCCAUAAAACAAGCAAAUAAUGUUUGUGACCUGAUUGAUCCCCUGUGACAGAAGUGGUUUUUAAACUGUAUUUUCUUAAAGGAAAUGUCAAUAUGCAUAAAAAAUCUGGCAGAGAGUAUUGAAUAAUAAAGUGGAAAGGAAUGGAAAUUAUUUUAGAGCCAGAUAAAGGGCAUGUGUUUUAGAGAAACUUAUGGGCUUAAUAUAGUUUUGUGGUCCUGUGACCACAUAGAG